rnacentral:lncRNA from 1 species
GUUUAAAUGAAUGAACUAGUUGAAGAAAUAGAAAUGAAGAAAAUAUUGCCACUUUGCUUGCAGGAAAAAGAUACUCAUCAAAAGCUUCAGCAAACUGAGCUUGAAUAUUCUGCUGCUUGACUUUUCUUAGAGCUUGAACAGAAAGUCCAUAUUGCCUAAUAAUGCUACUUUUGUAGUGUUUGCCUUUCUAAGGCAAUUUUUUUUUUAUUUUAUUACAAAUUAACCAAUCUGACUGAUUCUGCCAUUAUUUUAUUGCAGGGGCAUGGAGGAGUUACCAGGGAAGAAAUAUUUUUUAGCCUUAUGCUUAAACUGAACACAACAUCAGGAACUUCUGGAACCAGGGCUGAUGGCUGGGUGAAAGCCAAGGUGUUUGCCACAGAGAUGAGCUUCCGUUCCUUCGUCUGCACUGCGUUCAGCCGAGCGGCGCGCAGGUCCUGCCGGCACAGGAGGUAACAGCGCUUAUCUUUCUUCGAGCGGGCUCUGAACCGUCGGCUGGAUGCGCCUCACAGCGACUGAGAGCGCGGACUGAGAGUGCGCGUUCAUUUCAGGCCAUUUCAGGGGUAAGAUCUCCGUUUACGUGAGCGUAAGCUUUCGCGGCUUUACUUUCGUACACGAGCAGUAACUCCGUAAGCGAGGGCUAGCAAAGAGCCCCGUUCCGGCAGCGCGCUGCCGUUCAUCGCGAGCCCUUGGCGCUCGGAGCGCCCCUGGCUGCCCGCGAAGGCGGCGGAGGC